rnacentral:tRNA from 1 species
UCAGAAGAAGCCUAUGUGGUAGGGCACUCCGUUUGGGUCGGAGAUGGCUGCUGGUUCGACUCCAGUCUUCUGAA